rnacentral:rRNA from 1 species
GAUGAACGCUGGCGGCGUGCCUAAUACAUGCAAGUCGAGCGAACAGACGAGGAGUUUGCUCCUCUGACGUUAGCGGCGGACGGGUGAGUAACACGUGGAUAACCUACCUAUAAGACUGGGAUAACUUCGGGAAACCGGAGCUAAUACCGGAUAAUAUAUUGAACCGCAUGGUUCAAUAGUGAAAGACGGUUUUGCUGUCACUUAUAGAUGGAUCCGCGCCGCAUUAGCUAGUUGGUAAGGUAACGGCUUACCAAGGCAAUGAUGCGUAGCCGACCUGAGAGGGUGAUCGGCCACACUGGAACUGAGACACGGUCCAGACUCCUACGGGAGGCAGCAGUAGGGAAUCUUCCGCAAUGGGCGAAAGCCUGACGGAGCAACGCCGCGUGAGUGAUGAAGGUCUUCGGAUCGUAAAACUCUGUUAUUAGGGAAGAACAAAUGUGUAAGUAACUAUGCACGUCUUGACGGUACCUAAUCAGAAGGCCACGGCUAACUACGUG